GCGGGUGUAACUCAGCGGUAGAGUACUUGCUUCCCAAGCAAGGGGUCACGGGUUCGAAUCCCGCCACCCGCUCCA
rnacentral:tRNA from 1 species